AGAAGCUGUUCUUGUGGUGUGAGGUCUUGGUCCUGGGGAGAGGCUGGAAGAGUACAUGUCCGGGGUGAGAGGGGUCGGCUGCAAUCCUGGCUGCAUGUCUCCGGGUCCUGGACACGUACAAGUCCUGGAAUGAUGGGAGGCUGCAGCCGAUCACCUUCUCAGCGGAGUGGAUGACGCGCUGCAGCUUGGCCUUGUCCAAACCCACUAGAAGUCUAACUACAUGGUGACAGAGAGCCAGCAACCAAUCAGAGGAGAGAAAGAGUGUGAGCAUCAAAUGAAAUGCUGAAAGCUUUCAGGAGGUUGGACCCACGAACUGUAGGUGGUGCAAACGAUCUUGAUGUGAAUGUCGUAUUUGGAGAGAAUGUCAUUUAAGGUGCUGGCCAAAAUACUGAAUGUAUGCAAGCUUCUGUAGGUGAGUGCAGCAGAAGAAAUUUCAACACUUCUGAAGUUGACCCAGUGGACUAUGGAACUUUUCCUUUUCUAUCUGUCCCGCAAUCUAUUGUUGUCACUAUCCGUUUAAUUCCGGGCAUUGCAGCAGUUACUUUCUGCUUCAUUAUUGGAGUAGCCUCAAUUAUCUUUGAUUGUAAAGCAGGCUUGGUAAUGAGAGAAGUGCUAGGGAACAGAGCCUUA